rnacentral:rRNA from 2 species
CAACUUUCAGCAACGGAUCUCUUGGCUCUCGCAUCGAUGAAGAACGCAGCGAAAUGCGAUAAGUAAUGUGAAUUGCAGAAUUCAGUGAAUCAUCGAAUCUUUGAACGCACCUUGCGC